UUUUUUUUAAAUUUUGGAGGUAAUUGGGUUCAUUUAUUUAUUUGUUUGGUUUUUUUAAAUGGAGGUACUGGGGAUUGAACCCAGGACCUCAUGCAUGCUAAGCACCUGCUCUACCAUUCAGCUGUACCCACCCCUCAAAAUGGUUAAUUUUAAAUUGGUGUUUAUUUAGUUCUCUCUCAUGGUCCUAAAGCUCUUGCGGUUGAUGAUUUAUAAAAAUGGUGUGGUGAUUUCAUGAUCCUACUGGAAACGAUGACUGCCAGGGAGGGAAUUGAAUCUGUAGGAUUUAAAUGUGCCGAGCAAGUGUCCAUGCAAUGAAAAACAGUGACACGUCUUUGUGUCCACCAAUGGACACACGUCUACUAAUGGGCACUUUUUUUGCACUUCACCUGGAUGAGGAGAUGCAUAUUGGUGGUUGCCUUGUUCUGUAAGAACCCAAGAUGCAGGAGCGCCCAACGGGAGAGAGGGAGACCCAGGCCAGGAAGAAAGAGCCGGUUGGAAACCAUAGGGAGGGGACUGCAGCCAUUUACCAAGGACGUGAUGCGGGGUGAUGAUGUAACUUUAAAUUAUUGCUACUACGUAAGGCAAUUUUAUUAGUUAAAAUGUCACCUCUGCCUCACCUGCCAUUUGCACAAAGGUCUAAAAUCAUGCUUCUGACUUUACAUUCUGUCUGGAUCAUGAAUAUUCACUGCCCUGACCCCAAAGCUGUUCUUCCUGUGAGUCUUACCUAUCAGUACAUUGGCACAAAAGUGUAUUUAAAAUCCCUGGAAAACCUCAGUGCCUCCAUGCCCCCAGCCCCGCGCAGCACCUCUGUGUCCAGCAGCUCCUGGCCUCAUCUGGGGCCACCCUCCUCCCCACACGAGGCUCCAGCCACAAUUGUGUCCUUGCUGUUCCCUUGGAGACAACGAGUGACUUCCAUCCCAUGGCCUUUGUGCCUCUCCUUCCAACACACAACAAUGACUUUCCUCUUGCUUCCCGCCCUCAGUUCCUUCUCAUCAUUUGAGUUUUAACUUGAAUAGCACCUCCUUGGAGAGCUUCCCUGACUGCCCACCUCAACGUCACACAGCUGCUUGUUACUGAGUCCGAGCUGGUAGUGCUCGCCGCACGGCAGGCCAGCAAAUCGAGAGACGAGUUGUUGGGGCAAGGAAGAGUGACUUUAUUCAGAAAGUCAGCAGCCUGAGGGGAUGGUGGACUAGUGUCCCAAAGAACCAUCUCACCUGGGUUUGGAGGCUAGUUUCUUUUAUACAGCAAAGCAGGGGAGGUGAGGAGGUAAGUAAAAAAUGGGAUAGAUUGUUGCAAUUAUUUCCUGGUUCUGACCAGACUCCAGAGGGGAUGUGUUAAUUUCUCCUUUCCUGGAGCCAUUUACAGGUAAGACUGGCCAGGGUGUUUCCUGUGAGCCAAACAAAGAUAUUUUAGCUUACGCUCAGGCAUGGGAAGCAGGGUUCCCAGAGAUGGGCCGUUAUGUGUACUUUAAGCUAUAGGCAACAUCCUUUAAGUGGUUGACUUGUGGCAAAAGAAAUAGAACACAAAGGUUAAAGUAAAAGAAACAUUCACUAUGGAGUCAGAUUUGUUCUUCCCUGUUAUUCUCUGCCCCCGACAUCAGUUUGCUUCUUCCCUCUUAGGGCUUAACACAAAGCACAGUAACAUUGCAUUGUUAGAUAUGUUCUUUCUCCCAUAGUUGACUAGAAGCUCAGUGGGGCAGGAACCACGCCUGUCUUGUCGAUGCCAUACUGCAGCACCCAGAUGGAAACACAAUGAAAUAUUUGUUGAAUGAAUACAUGAAUGAGUGAGUGAGCACACACAGUCUCUCUGAAUACCAAUCCAAGUCUUUCUGUUUGAAGCCAGUACUGAUUUCUGGUGUGUAAAAGGCACACAAAACAGCGCACCGUGAAAUGAUGACCACUACAGUUUGUGAUUCUGUUACUCUUAACCUGGUUUGAACUCAAUUCCAUUAGAGUCUUCCAGAUUUAACUAACCAUACCAUCUGGCUGCAAACUCCAGGGUCUCAUUAAAUGAGCAGUAAUAAUAAAAGUAAUUGCAAAAGAGUAGAGGAGAUUAAGCAGACAGCAAUAAAAUGAUGUUGCCAGCACAGGGCUAUUGAUUUUGUUUGUAGCUUGCUGGCGCGAGGAUAUAUCGUUUUGUUUCUCAGAUUCACUUGGUUACAAUCAACAUUGACACCGGGCAGGCAGAGCCACCACUGAUUAGUGCUAAAAAGCAAUUACUACUAAAAAUGCCUCUGCAGAGUUCUGUCAUGACUGAUAAACCUAGAAGAUUAAAUAUAAGCCAGCCACUGAAAUUCAGGCCAUAAUGAUUUCUUUCAUUAUUCUCUUUCUGAUCUGCAGAAAUGUGUACAGCAUUCAUUCCAGCCAUUUUCUGCUGUUCCAACAAAAAAUCAUUUAGUUAAAGUGUUAAAAUGUUUGUAUCACUAAGUGAGGAACACAGUAUAGCUUUUCUUAUACAGCCUCUGGAAAUUCAUAGAAAAUUCAUCACAGGAAGCUUAACCAGCAAUUGGGGAAAAGCUGAAUAAAGCUGGGUGGGCGUCCACAUCAUAGACUAAUACAAUUCAUUACUGUCUUCUUUAUUAUUUCUCUUGAGAUAGUUUCUUUUCAUUUUGAUCAUCUCUACAGUAAUAUUAUUUGAGAAAAAUCACUGAAUUUAGAGCAAGUGUAAACCAAAUCUUCAUCAGAUCCACAAACCACAAAUUUUGCAGCUGUCUUCCAAUUUCUUGUAAGAGCAUGGAUUCUAAACUCAUCUUCUGGAAAUGUCAAUAUUAUUGCUACUUUUAUUCUAUAAGGAACGACAUGUUUAUUUGCAAGCAAAGUAGUAGAAAUCAGAAGUUCUUAAAGUGUGGUCCCCAGACCAGCAGCCUUAGCACCACCUGGGAACUUACUGAAAAUGAGAAUUUGCAAACCCAACCCCAGACUUACCACAUCAGAAACUCUAGGCGGAAGACCCAGCCAUCGAUGUUUCACAAAUCCUGAUGUAGAUGGUUCUCAACUUGGGUGAGUUUGUGCCUCAGGACAUUUGACAACAUCUGGAGACAUUUUCAGUUGUCAACAUCUGGGGGAGAGAGUGCUACUGGGAAUCUAGCAGGAAGAAGCAAAAGGUGCUACAAUGCACAGGACAGAUCCCCAUAACAAAAACUCCAAGUCCAAAACCUCAAAGGUGCCAAGACUGAGAAGUCCUGGUGAAAGGAAAGAACCUUUGAUCAGCAACCCUGAGUCUUAAUCAUGCUUUCCUAUUCAUUUUCACUUACUGUUUUAUUUUGUCUUUCAGUGUUUUAUGCCCUACAAAUGAUUCUUUCUUGUUUUAAACCCAUUCAACUUGUUUUUGGUUUCUAUUAGUGUUAUCUUUAGAAGAUCUUCCUCCAGCUUAGAAUCACGUAAAUGUUUACCUAUAUGUUAUGAUUUCCCUUUUACAUUUAGUUAGUUAAUCCAUUUGGAAUUCAUUUUGAUAAAAGUUGUGAAACAAUGAUCUAACAAUUUCUUUGUUGUAUUAAACUCCUUGUACCUGAAAUAUAUGGAAUUGUUUCUAUUUCCUGACCAAGCCAUGACUAAGAGGAUGUGCUUCAUCAAAACAAGAGCAUUAGCUAAGCAAAAUGAAGAAUCAGUUUGAAUCAGCUUCAUCCUCAUGUGACCAAAAACUCAAUACCAUACUAAAUACUAUGGAAGUUUAUUUCUCACCCUAAAAAAUAAUAAUAAAACCAUGACAAUAAGCAUCCCA